AAUUCGUCUCUUAAUUUUUAACUAAAAAAACUAAGAACCGGCUCUUAAAUAUUUAAGAGACGGUUCUUAGCUUUUUCAGUUAAAAGUUAAGAGAUGAGUU
rfam:Brassica oleracea var. oleracea cultivar TO1000 chromosome C6, whole genome shotgun sequence